rnacentral:rRNA from 1 species
GGGCUUACGGAAGUGUAAGGAUCUAGCGAGCCCAACCUCCCACCCGUGUUUACUGUACCUUAGUUGCUUCGGCGGGCCCGCCAUUCAUGGCCGCCGGGGGCUCUCAGCCCCGGGCCCGCGCCCGCCGGAGACACCACGAACUCUGUCUGAUCUAGUGAAGUCUGAGUUGAUUGUAUCGCAAUCAGUUAAAACUUUCAACAAUGGAUCUCUUGGUUCCGGCAUCGAUGAAGAACGCAGCGAAAUGCGAUAACUAGUGUGAAUUGCAGAAUUCCGUGAAUCAUCGAGUCUUUGAACGCACAUUGCGCCCCCUGGUAUUCCGGGGGGCAUGCCUGUCCGAGCGUCAUUGCUGCCCAUCAAGCACGGCUUGUGUGUUGGGUCGUCGUCCCCUCUCCGGGGGGGACGGGCCCCAAAGGCAGCGGCGGCACCGCGUCCGAUCCUCGAGCGUAUGGGGCUUUGUCACCCGCUCUGUAGGCCCGGCCGGCGCUUGCCGAACGCAAAUCAAUCUUUUUCCAGGUUGACCUCGGAUCAGGUAGGGAUACCCGCUGAACUUAAGCAUAUCAAAAUCGGGAAGGGAAA